AGAGUGAGAUUCUGUACACACUGAAAUCAAUGGGAGUUUUACCAGUGACUUCAGUAGGGCCAGGAUUUCACACC
rnacentral:pre_miRNA from 1 species